rnacentral:rRNA from 1 species
UGCUUCUCUUGAGAGCGGCGGACGGGUGAGUAAUGCCUAGGAAUCUGCCUGGUAGUGGGGGAUAACGUCCGGAAACGGACGCUAAUACCGCAUACGUCCUACGGGAGAAAGCAGGGGACCUUCGGGCCUUGCGCUAUCAGAUGAGCCUAGGUCGGAUUAGCUAGUUGGUGGGGUAAUGGCUCACCAAGGCGACGAUCCGUAACUGGUCUGAGAGGAUGAUCAGUCACACUGGAACUGAGACACGGUCCAGACUCCUACGGGAGGCAGCAGUGGGGAAUAUUGGACAAUGGGCGAAAGCCUGAUCCAGCCAUGCCGCGUGUGUGAAGAAGGUCUUCGGAUUGUAAAGCACUUUAAGUUGGGAGGAAGGGCAGUAAAUUAAUACUUUGCUGUUUUGACAUUACCGACAAAUAAGCACCGGCUAACUCUGUGCCAGCAGC